rnacentral:lncRNA from 1 species
UCUUUCUAUUAUGUUAAAAAUACCAGAGUUAUGCAGUAUUAUUUAAUUAUAAAAAAUGUUAUAUUAUAUGAAAUGAAUCGUGCGGUUAACAUGCAAAUUUCUCAGUUUAUUCACAAUUCGUGCUUUUCUGCGAUUGAUUUAAUGCAAAUGACUGAAAUGCGUUUUUGCGUUCAAACCCGAAUAAACAAAUUGAUUUUCCAGACGUAUGAUCUCGCAACGAAUCUCCACAAACAUCGAUUCACAUCGCUGAACCGAAAUCUAUUCGCUUCUCUCUACAAACAGCAACUUUUCUUCAAUUCUCAGUCAAAAUAUGCGAUAUUUAUAACAAGUGAUAGGAAAACGUUUCGCGUACAAUGUGAAAACCAUUUGUGCGAAAUGUUUCUUCGAAAUCGUCACUAAUAAUUCAAAUAAGAUAGUAUUGUUUCGGGAACUUCUGCGGAGUGCCUCGAGUCCUUUACGGUUAUUAUUGUUUUUCACACCCUCGAAUCUCGUUCUCCCGGUUUCAGGAACACCGAAGGAUUAUUUGCAUGUGUAACAAAACCGAGGGGACGCGCCGACGGGUUCUCCGAGAGAAUAGCGCGAUCUUUUGUCCAAAGCACUAUCCGAAAGGAUAAAGUUAACAUUUCCUCGGAAAAUGUAUAUUUGCCCUUUUCGAAAAAUAUGCCAGAAAAUAUCGCUAUUUGGCUGUAAUGUAAAAGAUGGGAAGAAGAUAAUCUUUUAUUCACCGAGUAUUUGAUAUUCACUUUUUAAAAUUAUAUAUCGAUUUCGCGUUUUUUUAUCAUUGUUAAUUUUCACUUUUAUAAAUAUAUACUUUGUAUAUUGUUACUUUUACUUUUUAAGAAGAGAUACAAAGAUUAAUUUACUCUAAAGCGAUAGCUGAAGUAAUAAAAUUUAUUCGUGAUUUAUUUACAAGAAUAGAUGGAAACUGUAUAAAUCCGAAUAAAUCCCUCGAUGUUCCAUUUUUGAGAUAAUCGAAACUCUCUCUCUGUCUCCCACGUUCGUCGCAUCUAUACAGCGGAGAGAGCGAAUUGUAAAUAGACAAUCUGAAAUUCCAGAUGCGAUACUAAGAUUAAAAAACUUGGUCACAUUUACAAUUCAUGAAGAAAUACCUGGGGUUAGGUUCACGAGGGAAAGAGUUCUCUAAUUACUUCCGCUACAGCCGUUAAACUUCCCGAGACCACACAAUACGGAAGCGCGCGUAAUAUUCGAAUGUAAUAUACACUUUAAAAGCGGAUUGCAAGACUCACUUACUUAAAAGCACUCGAGAAAAGCAUCUUGAUCCCGAUAAAUUACUUCUAUAUUUCACCCCUACCGUCGCCGCAUUGUAGAAAACUUAAAGUUUUCCGCGGAGAAAACGGCGCCAUCGGCUAUCCAUUUCUGGGACGCUCGGUGUUCGAGGACUACGGUCCUAACGGAAAUUUUUUCGCGUUUAUUGUUUGUCGGAAUUUUGGACGCGGCAAGGCAGCGGGAUACGAGCGAUUUCGGGACGGUCUAAUUGCUUGCAAAAAUAUUGUCAGGCAUGGUCAUAUCGGUGAAUAUCAACGGAACAACUCGAAUUAACGUCUGCGCCCGCACUAAACGUCUAAUGCAAUUAUCCGGGAACGUUGCCAGAGAUAAGGGAAAGUAAGAUUUAAGAUGUGCUUAUGAAAAUUCGAGCGAAAAAUCCAAGGAUACCGCUUGAAGAAUAUUUAAGAUUAUUUCGUGUUGCACAACUUGAAAUAUAAAAUUAUAGUAGAUUCGAUUGUGUCUUUUUCAAUUUUAUUAAUCCACUACGCGCGUACUGUCACAUAUGAAAAUGUCAAAAGAAGCACAGAAGCUGUAGGGAGUCCGCGACUUUUAUUAUUCUAUCUUGUUAGUGAAAUGAGCCCGUAUUCGUGUUUUUCUAAGACUUCCUUUUGCUUUCAAAAAUGAUCUCUAUGCAACGUCACGUCAGCAACAAAUUCUUCUUUUUCAAGGUCCGCGUAUUUAACAGAAUCUCUACAAAAAAUCAAGUUCAAUUAUUGUGCAGCUUUAUUUUUUUUUUACAGGCAUGACGGUUUCAUUAUUUCAUUAUAAUUCAAUUUUUGUUAUCAUAAUUAAAACAGAGAUAGCAUAUAAAUAUAUAUAAUUAUAUAAUAAUUGCGAAUAAAGAAUUAAUUUUAACUAUGCGAUCAAUGGUUAAAAAACCUCGAAGCGUUGAACGUGAAACACACGAACGCCGCAAGUUUAAGAGCUUGCCGGCAAUCUUCUCGAGCGGUCCCCAGAUAAUACCGUUCGCUUUCAAGUGAAUUGUCAAACGCUGUUCCAUUGUCGAAGACAACCUGUUCGCGUUGCCCACACUCUCUCGUACGCAAUCCGUGGUGAAAUUACCUAGGGCGGCUUUUGUUUCGACACCACUCCGAGCGUGCAUCCCCCGUGCCACUCUCUUCAUCCAGGUUCCGUCGUCUCCCCCGCUCCGACCCGUCAGCCGCCUCCAUCCUUUUCCGCGCCGCUAAACGACCGAGUUAGCUCCGGCAAAGCCGAGCACAAAAAGCUCGGUCACAAUCAACGCUCGACGAGGGCAGGAGAGCCAAAGAAAGAAAAAGGAAGUAGGACGUAGUUUAGGCGUCGGAGGUCGAGAGAAAGAAGUAGGCGGUUUCAGCAAGCGAGAGCAGCCGCCGAGAUAAGCGAAAAGAGUAUACCUGGUUAACUCCUCCUCCAGACUCACCGCGUGACUCAAGCUUCGACGGGGAAAAUAUAGACGUGGGUGGUUGCACAAGAAGCGCGAUGUAAGUAUAGGGGUACGUAGAGCGAGAGAGACUGACUGUUACGUGAGGGAAACGAGUGAGACGAGAACGCGGCCGCGGAUAAGAAGAAGCUUGUUACACCAACGUGGAAACCGCAGAUGCAUACUGAUCGCGCGUCUGCUACCGGCAACACGCCUCCCCGCCUCCCUUCCCAUUCGUUUUCCUUCUCUUCUUACCGUACUCUCCUGACGAGAAAGGUAGGUAACAACCUAGCGGAGGCGAGAUGGACUUUUUCAGUCUCGUUCACGGAUGGAAAACGCGAAGCUGGCGAAUGUAUGCGAGCCGCUGAUGUAACGGUGUAAUGAGAAAGAUCUACAUCAAACCUUGAUGAAGAAGCAGCCGCUGGUAGACGCGCCUAAUUGCACGAUUCGAGUGUAGUCAGUGCUAGAAAGGUAAGUUCCCGCGUGGCGACUGCAGCGGUCAGAAAUAUGGCUGGAACGACAGUGGCCUGGCUGGAACUUUUUGGGGGAAAAAUCUACAACGGCGAGCCGCAAGAACUAACACAUGUUUUACUAAUCGCGAAACGUCCGUUGUGUCGCUGAAAUACGAUCCACUUGUUAUAGUGUUUCAAGUUAUUUUUCAAAUAAACAUAUAAUCAAUUAAUUAUUGUAAUAACAAAGUUAUUAAAACGAGAUAAUAAUAAAGAUGCGCAUGUUUGUCAAAACGCGAAAAACAAUUCAGGACAGUAUUUUAAACAAGUCUUUUGUACUGCAAUGUACAGGAAUCGCGAACAAAUCGAGUUGUGUUCCACAAUCAUAAAUUAUAUCCGUUGUUCACUUAAACUGUCAAUACCAGGCUGAUUACAUACAACUAAUUUACAGCGAUCGCUGCGAACAGCUUCGCGUAUUAUUACGAGUUAUUACGGGACACGCUACGGACAACGUGUGUUUUCUUCAUGUGAUAUACAGAUGUUCAUUAUUGUGCGCUAAUUCCUCGCGGCCAAUUAAUUGUGAUUUGCAGUUCAAUAAUGCUCAAUGAAUUAAUGACAAUCGAAAUUCAAUUCACCAACGGAACUUUAUGACAAUGCGUAUUACAGCAAUAAAAUUUUUGUUAAUAGAAAAGAUAAAAUACAUUUUUUUUAAUUUAAUCAAAGGUGAUAUCGUAAUUUGUGUUUAAAAGGUUUGCAAAAUUAAAUUUAGAAGAAAUAUGAAA